UACAGAGGGGGCAAGCGUUGUUCGGAAUUACUGGGCGUAAAGGGCGCGUAGGCGGCCUUCUAAGUCAGACGUGAAAUCCCUCGGCUCAACCGGGGAACUGCGUCUGAGACUGGAAGGCUUGAAUCCGGGAGAGGGAUGUGGAAUUCCAGGUGUAGCGGUGAAAUGCGCAGAUAUCAGGAAGAACACCCGUGGCGAAAGCGGCUCUCUGGAACGGUACUGACGCUGAGACGCGAAAGCGUGGGGAGCGAACAGG
rnacentral:rRNA from 1 species